AUGACGUUGUACCCAUCCUUGAUGAGUCGUCGUGAGUUCGAGCAUGAGGAGGACACAUAUCGAAAAUCCAAGUUUGUGAUCAUGGUGCCAUCUUCUUCGAUGGGCUCCGGUGGUGCAAAUGGAAGUACAAAAGGCAAGGAUGUGAUCGAUUUGGAGGCAGCAAUGAAUAAUACGAAGCAUAAAGAUGGGAGCUUGACGACGUGUCCACUGCUUACUAGGCUUGCUUGCCGCCCGAUUUGGAUUCAGCCAGAACCUCCGAAGCAGCUCAUUGCUAUAUUCAGAAACCUGACCUCUGUGCGUCUUUUCGGUAUCUUCAGUGAGUGUGAUCUGAGCUGGACACUGUUUAUCCUUGAAGCUGCACCUGCCCUACAUGAUUUAGCAUUAUCUCGACAUUCAUGUGCCAAGCCGCACAAGAACAGUGCCGAGAAGACCAACGUGGUGUGGGAGCCAUCCAAGGAUUUGAAGCACCUGAACUUGGAGGUGCUGCAGAUCUUCGGGUGUGAGGAUGAAGACAAGGCUUGCCGCAGCUUGAGCAAUGACUCCCAUAUAUCAGAUAUUAAACUGAUAAGAACAGAUACUACACUUGAUCUUAGCCAAAAAGCCGAGAAAGACGAUGAUGAUGGUGGUAUUGUUGGUAAUCCCUAUUUGGCGCUGCAGGCGCCGGUUACAGCUGUUUCCGCAAACCGGCGCCUGCAGCGGAGUUAG
rnacentral:rRNA from 1 species